AUAGAUACAAUGAUAAAGAGGAGUAAACUUAAUAUUUCUUUUAGAGAGACGAUGGUUGGUGUAAAUCGUUAUUAAUUUAAGUUGAAGGGCGCUUUUGAGUAUUAACACUGAAAGUUGGGCUAAAGCCAAGAAGGGUGGAACCGCGGAAUUGAAAUUUCGUCCCUUUA
rnacentral:ncRNA from 1 species